GCCAGUGCGGCAUAGUGGUUUGAGCAUUGGACUAUGACUCUGGAGACUAGGGUUAGAUUCCCCGCCUGGCC
rnacentral:tRNA from 1 species